UGGGGAAUAAUGAACAAUGGGCGCAAGCCUGAUGCAGCCAUGCCGCGUGUAUGAAGAAGGCCUUAGGGUUGUAAAGUACUUUCAGCGGGGAGGAAGGGGAUAAGGUUAAUAACCUUGUCGAUUGACGUUACCCGCAGAAGAAGCACCGGCUAAAUACGUGCCAGCAGCCGCGGUAAUACGGAGGGUGCAAGCGUUAAUCGGAAUUACUGGGCGUAAAGCGCACGCAGGCGGUCUGUCAAGUCGGAUGUGAAAUCCCCGGGCUCAACCUGGGAACUGCAUUCGAAACUGGCAGGCUAGAGUCUUGUAGAGCGGGGUAGAAUUCCAGGUGUAGCGGUGAAAUGCGUAGAGAUCUGGAGGAAUACCGGUGGCGAAGGCGGCCCCCUGGACAAAGACUGACGCUCAGGUGCGAAAGCGUGGGGAGCAAACA
rnacentral:rRNA from 1 species